UUGCUUUGGCAGCACGUAUACUAAAACUGGAAGGAUGCAGAGGAGAUUGGCAUGGCCCCUGUGCAAGGAUGACACGCGAAUUUGUGAAGCGUUCCUUUUUUUU